rnacentral:rRNA from 1 species
GAAAUGCGAUAAGUAAUGUGAAUUGCAGAAUUCAGUGAAUCAUCGAAUCUUUGAACGCAUCUUGCGCUCCUUGGUAUUCUGAGGAGCAUGCCUGUUUGAGUGUCAUUAAAUUCUCAGAAACCUUGCCAUUGUAAUGGGAGGCUUUUUGGAUAUUGGGAGUUGCGGGUUCAAGUGGCUGGCUCUCCUCAAAUGAAUUAGCAGGGAAAAUAUAUGGCAUUGCUGUUUCUGCAUUGGUGUAAUAGUUGUCUACAUCAUGAAACAAAGCCUCUUUAAUGAUAUCUGCUCUCUAAAUCUUUAUUGUUACACUUGACCUCAAAUCAGGUAGGAUUACCCGCUGAACUUAA